UACGGAGGGGGCAAGCGUUGUUCGGAGUUACUGGGCGUAAAGCGCGCGUAGGCGGUGCGGUAAGUCAGGGGUUAAAGGCUGCAGCUCAACUGCAGUAAGGCCUUUGAUACUAUCGCGCUAGAGUACCAGAGAGGAUGGCGGAAUUCCCGGUGUAGCGGUGAAAUCCGUAGAUAUCGGGAGGAACACCAGAGGCGAAGGCGGCCACCUGGGCCAAGACUGACGCUGAGGUGCGAAAGCGUGGGGAGCAAACAGG
rnacentral:rRNA from 1 species